rnacentral:rRNA from 1 species
GGCGGUCGACGGUCACGGUGGCGCGGUAGUGCGUAGCGGGGGAGGGUUGUACGGAGGCAGUGGGGGUAAAGGCGGCGGAGGUGGCCCCGGAGGUGCGGUGUGAAAGUCAAAGGCGCAACCUGUGAAAGCCGGUGGGUAAUGUGGGGCUAGAGUCCGGAAGAGGGGAGUGGAAUGCCUGGUGUAGCGGUGGAAUGCGCAGAUAUCAGGAGGAACACCAAUGGCGAAGGCAGCUCGCUGGGACGGUACUGACGCUAAGGCGCGAAAGCGUGGGGAGCGAACAGGAUUAGAUACCCCAGUAGC